rnacentral:snRNA from 1 species
GCAAGCAAUACAUAUAUUAAAAUUGGAACGAUACAGAGAAGAUUAGCAUGGCCCCUACACAAGGAUGACAGGCAAAUUCGUGAAGCGCUGUAUAUUUUU